rnacentral:tRNA from 1 species
AAAGAGUUAGUAUAAUGACAUUACACAAGACUCUCCGAGCUUCUUGGAUAUAGGUUAAAAUCCUAUACUCUUUA